UACAGAGGGCCCAAGCGUUGUUCGGAUUUACUGGGCGUAAAGGGCGCGUAGGCGGUCGGGAAAGUCUGAUGUGAAAUCUCACAGCUUAACUGUGAAACUGCAUUGGAUACUAUCCGGCUCGAGGAAUGGAGGGGAGACUGGAAUACUUGGUGUAGCAGUGAAAUGCGUAGAUAUCAAGUGGAACACCAGUGGCGAAGGCGAGUCUCUGGACAGUACCUGACGCUGAGGCACGAAAGCGAGGGGAGCAAACGGG
rnacentral:rRNA from 1 species